rnacentral:rRNA from 1 species
UAGGGAAUCUUCGGCAAUGGACGAAAGUCUGACCGAGCAACGCCGCGUGAGUGAAGAAGGUUUUCGGAUCGUAAAACUCUGUUGUUAGAGAAGAACAAGGACGUUAGUAACUGAACGUCCCCUGACGGUAUCUAACCAGAAAGCCACGGCUAACUACGUGCCAGCAGCCGCGGUAAUACGUAGGUGGCAAGCGUUGUCCGGAUUUAUUGGGCGUAAAGCGAGCGCAGGCGGUUUCUUAAGUCUGAUGUGAAAGCCCCCGGCUCAACCGGGGAGGGUCAUUGGAAACUGGGAGACGUGAGUGCAGAAGAGGAGAGUGGAAUUCCAUGUGUAGCGGUGAAAUGCGUAGAUAUAUGGAGGAACACCAGUGGCGAAGGCGGCUCGCUGGUCUGUAACUGACGCUGAGGCUAGAAAGCGUGGGGAGCAAACAGG